UACGGAGGAUGCAAGCGUUAUCCGGAAUGAUUGGGCGUAAAGCGUCCGCAGGUGGCAAUGUAAGUCUGCUGUCAAAGCGUCUGGCUCAACCAGAUAAAGGCAGUGGAAACUACAUAGCUAGAGUAAGGUAGGGGUAGAGGGAAUUCCUGGUGUAGCGGUGAAAUGCGCAGAUAUCAGGAGGAACACCGGUGGCGAAGGCGGAUCUCUGGGCCUUACCUGACGCUCAGGCGCGAAAGCUAGGGGAGCGAACAGG
rnacentral:rRNA from 1 species